rnacentral:lncRNA from 1 species
ACAAUACAUAAGAGGGAGAAAAACAACACAACAAGAGGUAAACGUUUUUGAAAUGGGAAGCAAAAAUGGACAACCUCUUUCGGCACAAGAAUAAAAGUCAUAUGUCCGAAUUAGCACCAUGGGAAACCCACUUUCAGCCAACUACUACUACACCCCUAAUUCCACUCCCCAAAUCUCUCAACACCCCUAAUUUGAAACACUUUCAAACUCCUCCAAAUCCUUAUCCCAUAAAUCACUCCCCCAAGACCAAUUCCACAACCACCUAAGCAGAAUCCCAAUACAACACAACCA